rnacentral:lncRNA from 1 species
CCAGAGCCCCGCCUCCUCAUUUGGGUUCUCGAGACUCCCGGGAAGCGGUUUGGGAAGCUCGGGGGUCGGCUCGGAAAGUAGAGGGGGCGCAGCUGGGGCGGGAGGACAGCGUUUGUGCCCGGAAGCGGGAGAGGAAGCGGGAAGUUUGUGGGAUCCCCGCCCCCUGUGUCAGUGGAUGCGACCGGGCGGGCCCUCGGCCUUCCCGGCCGCUGGAGAGGGACUUCGGCCGCUGGCUCCCGGGGCGGCUGAGGCUGAGCGUUGGUCCGGAGCAGGUGCCGGGUGCGGGCCGCGGUGUGCGGGACCGGAGCCCGGCGCGAGCGGCGGCGGGGGUGGGGAAAGCGCAUUUGUAACGCGGGCGACAACGUGCCCGAAAUCCCCGGACGGUGGGUCUGCAUCGAGACCCCGAGCUCUGGAGCUGGAAAAACCCGGGUAAGCUUUACAGUUCUCUAUACUCUCCCAAGAGCCACAGAAAAUGAACACAUUUCAGGCAUCAGUGUCAUUCCAGGACGUGACUGUGGAAUUCAGCCAGGAGGAGUGGCAGCACAUGGGCCCUGUUGAGAGGACCCUGUACAGAGAUGUGAUGCUGGAGAACUACAGCCACCUCGUCUCAGUGGGCUACUGCUUUACAAAACCAGAACUGAUCUUCACAUUGGAACAAGGAGAAGAUCCAUGGUUAUUAGAGAAAGAGAAAGGAUUUCUAAGCAGGAACUCCCCAGGAAGGAGGGAGCCCCAGGAACAGGAGUCCCACCGAAGAACUGCUCUCUGACAGAACAGAGACCUCCUCACCAGGGCUUCCAAACAGAUGCAGAAGAACCCAGAAAGGAGCAGGUCUUGAUUUGCCCAACCAGCGGCACUUCUUCAUCCCCUUGCCCAGAGAGCACCAGACUUGGUGAUGUCGCCACAUCCAGAAGCCAUCACAGAUUGUGUGACACUGAACACUGUGGGCCAACUUGCAGAAGGUGGUUAUCCUUUACGGUUCUCCACACUCUUUCAGGAGCAGCAGAAAAUGAACAUAUCUCAGGCAUCAGUGUCAUUCAAGGACGUGACUAUAGAAUUCACCCAGGAGGAGUGGCAGCAAAUGGCCCCUGUUCAGAAGAAUCUGUACAGAGAUGUGAUGCUGGAGAACUACAGCAACCUCGUCUCAGUGGGGUACUGCUGUUUCAAACCAGAGGUGAUCUUCAAGUUGGAGCAAGGAGAGGAGCCUUGGUUCUCAGAGGAGGAAUUCUCAAACCAGAGUCACCCAAAAGAUUACAGAGGUGAUGACCUGAUCAAGC